rnacentral:rRNA from 1 species
CCCUUAGAUGUUCUGGGCCGCACGCGCGCUACACUGACUACUUCAACUAGUUGUUUCCUUGAUCGAAAGGUCUGGGUAAUCUUUGAAAGGUAGUCGUGAUGGGGAUAGAUCCUUGCAAUUUUUGAUCUUCAACGAGGAAUUCCUAGUAAACGCAAGUCAUCAGCUUGCAUUGAUUACGUCCCUGCCCUUUGUACACACCGCCCGUCGCACCUACCGAUUGAAUGGUCCGGUGAAUCUUUAGGACUGUGGCUGAGGCCUUGCCUUGUGCGGGUCUGGCCGUGGGAAUUUAGUUAAACCUUACCAUUUAGAGGAAGGUGAAGUCGUANCA